rnacentral:lncRNA from 1 species
AAUUUUAAUUUAUGUGAAAAUUUAUGGAAAGUAAUUCACUUGUGGGCAUUUUUACCGGCGUAAUUAUAAUUUUGCCGAAAUUAUAUAUAUAGUGAGAUCAGAAACAUUAGUUAACGACUUGAUCAGUCGACGGUGUCGAGAAGAUUUUUUGAUGGUGUACGAAAUUGAGCCACGAGAUCUUUUCGGCAUAUUGCUACUAGGGAUGUCAAUAGGUUGGAUUUGGGGCGGAUUUUCAAAAAUUCGAACCCGAACCCGACUCCAAACCCGAAAUCCGAAUUCGAAUCCGAACCCGACGGAUUUUAGAAAUCUAUAUCCAAAUCUAAACCCGACCAAAAAUUCAGAACCCAAACCCGAAUACGAAAAUCUGAACCGAAAUAAAUAUUUCUCUUUUCAAUAUUUCAAAAUAUAUUACAUUAAAUCUAAACUUUUAAAAUACAAAUUAAAAUAUAACAUCACAUUUUAUAUACAUAUAAUAUAUAAUGUAAAAUAAAUGCGAGUUCAGGUCAAAAUCCAUAUCCGAGAAUUUAUAUCCAUCGGUUUUUUGUUUUUGAUAUUCAUAUUCAAAACCAUAUCUGUUUAGUAUCCGGUAAAUGCGCUCCGUACGGGUUCAGCUUCGGAUAAAAUUUCAGGUAUCCGUACCCAUUGACAUCCCUAAUUGCUACGACAAAAUUAGUAUUUCUACUCUCACCAAGUUAAUCUAAGACAGAUCCUUAGCGAGUGUUUGGAUCGACGCAAUUCUAAUUUGGCUGAAAAUCAAGUUAAGCAAGAAUAAAAUUAUUUUUUUUUGAGAAAUAGGUAGCGAGCUAUCUGCUUUAUUUAUAAAGCAAGAUGAAUAAAGCGCACAGGGUGGAGGCAGCUG